rnacentral:lncRNA from 13 species
CUUUGGGAAGCUGAGGCAGGCAGAUUAUGAGGUCAGAAGUUCCAGACCAGCCUGGCCAACAUGGUGAAACUCCGUCUCUACUAAAGAUAGAGAAAAUUUAGUGCACACCUGUAAUCCCAUCUACUCUGGAGUCUAAGGCAGGAGAAUCGCUUGAACCCAGGAGGCAGAGUUUGCAGUGAGCCAAUAUUGCACCAUUGCACUCCAGUCCAAAUGACAGGGUGAGACUCUGUCUCAAAAAAAAAAAAAAAAAAAGGAAAAGAAAAGAAAAUCAAGGACUGUAAAGGCACCUAGGACCUGGAAGGAGUAGAAAGUCUCUAUCAUGCUCAGCACCAAGUGGAGGGACAAGUAAGCUCCUGCAAAGAUGCUGCCCACCAUAACUGUGGCCGAGCAGAGCCACGGGCAGAACUCAGUGGGUGGCAUCUCCCCCGUCUCGCUCUUGCUCCUACUCCGGCCACGUGAGAUGUGCCUGCUUCCUCCGCGCCUUCUGCCGUGAUUGUGCUUGUCUCUUAGCAAUCCACUGUCCGCUGAGUAGGACCAUCGUCUCAUCUCCAGGCUGGAGCACCUCUUGAGAAACUGCUCUUUCACCAAGAUGUGCACAUUUUCACUACUAAAGGUCCAACCUUGGAAAUUAGCUGCAGA